rnacentral:rRNA from 1 species
GAUGAACGCUGACAGAAUGCUUAACACAUGCAGUCACUGAUUGUGGCGGACGGGUGAGUAACGCGUAAAGAACUUGCCUCACAGCUAGGGACAACAUUUGGAAACGAAUGCUAAUACCUAAUACUGUGAGAGAGCUUUGCGUCCCAUUAGCUAGUUGGAGAGGUAACGGCUCACCAAGGCGAGGAUGGGUAGCCGGCCUGAGAGGGUGAUCGGGCACAAGGGGACUGGGACACGGCCCGUAGUGCUACGGGAGGCAGGAGUGGGGAAGAUUGGACAAUGGACCAAAGUCUGAUCAAGCAAUGCGGGGUGUACGAUGAAGUUUUCGGAAGGUAAAGGGCUUGCAGUUGGGAAGCGGUACCAACAGAAGAAGUGACGGCUAAAUACGUGCCAGCAGCCGCGGUAAUUC